rnacentral:rRNA from 1 species
GACGGAGGAUGCAAGCGUUAUUCGGAAUCACUGGGCGUAAAGCGUCUGUAGGAGGUCAAAUAAGUAAACUGUUAAAUCUUGAGGCUAAACCUCAGAAUCGCAGUCGAAACUAUUAGGCUAGAGUAUAGUAGGGGUAAAGGGAAUUUCCAGUGGAGCGGUGAAAUGCGUAGAGAUUGAAAAGAACGCCGAAGGCGAAGGCACCUUACUGGGCCAGUACUAACGCUGAGAGACGAAGGCUAGGGUAGCAAAUGGG